rnacentral:rRNA from 1 species
UAGGGAAUUGUUCGCAAUGGGCGCAAGCCUGACGACGCAACGCCGCGUGGAGGAUGAAGACCUUCGGGUCGUAAACUCCUUUCGACCGAGAUGAAUACUCGCCCAUCUAAUACGUGGGCGAGCUGACAGUAUCGAGGGAAGAAGCCCCGGCUAACUCCGUGCCAGCAGCCGCGGUAAUACGGGGGGGGCAAGCGUUGUUCGGAAUUACUGGGCGUAAAGGGUUCGUAGGUGGCCGACUAAGUCAGACGUGAAAUCCCUCAGCUCAACUGGGGAACUGCGUCUGAUACUGGUUGGCUUGAGUGCAGGAGAGGAACGCGGAAUUCCAGGUGUAGCGGUGAAAUGCGUAGAUAUCUGGAGGAACACCGGUGGCGAAGGCGGCGUUCUGGACUGCAACUGACACUGAGGAACGAAAGCCAGGGGAGCAAACGGGAUUAGAUACCCCCGUAGUCC